GCCGGCAGCUAGUGACAUGGUUGCCCACUAAAGCUAAGCAGGGCUGCGCCCGGUCAGUACCUGGAUGGGAGACCACAUGGGAAAGCUAGGUUGCUGCCGGAA
rnacentral:rRNA from 1 species